rnacentral:lncRNA from 1 species
AGAACUCCACCAGGAUGUUGGUCCUCAGUACAGGGGUGUGGUACCGGAGAAUCAAGCACCAAAUAAAACUAAGGGAGAAGAUGCUCCGUAAUUGUUGAUGAUGAAGCAGAAAUGUCUUCAGAAGGGAGGCAAGCCUCUGCUGCUCACGAGCCCUCUGUCCCAGAUGGACGUCCCCAGGCUACCUGCCGCUUGUUAAGGUCAUCCCACAGCAGCUUUUCAGGGUGAGGAUAGACCUCUGCAAAGCCCAUUAAACUGUCUAUCCG